AUGCCAGUGGUGACCACGAGUGUAACCAGCCAAAACGGUGGUCUAGCCACUGUUGUCGUUGGCAUCGCUGCUCUGGCCGUCUCUGACCUCGCCAUUAAUGCCCAACAGCUCCCCCUCGACGUCAUCUUCCCUCUGGACCUCUGGCCCGCUUCGUUUUCUUCUCCGGCGAGCCGUGCCAACGACCGGAAUAGUGCGCUCCUGUGCAUCGUCGUCUUCCUCGCCGGUGUCCACUUCCUCCUCUUGUCCUCGAGCCUUGCUCGUCUUCGUGACUCCCUGACGCUCGUCCGCACCCUCCUCGUCGCUUUACCGUGCGCCCCCGUGACUGCUGCGGCCGGCAGAGCCGUGGCCGGACUCGCUCGGCAGAGCUCGGCUCGGGUGCCCUUGCCCCGGCUAUAUAUAGCCCGUCCGCGCCUCGUCCGAGCUCAUGUGCAGCUUCCCCGAACCCUUCCACUCCCCCCCUCGACACCCGUAGCUCUCCCCCUCUCCUUGGAGCUCUCCUGUCCGCUCCAUGGCCGAAGCAUCGCCGCCGAUCCCCAUUGGCCACUUCUUGGCCAUGGCCCUUCCCCUCCCUUUCUUCGGCGUCCCCUACUCCCUCUGGAUCCUGCGGAGUCUCCGCCGCCCGCCAGUUCCUCCGGGCAAGCCCCGGCGGCGCGCCCUCCCGCUGAAGCACUUCGGCCGCCGCGGCCUUCCCAUGGCGCGGGCGCUGUGGUGCACCUCGAGCAGCCCCGCGGCCACCCACGGGAGCGGCGUGGAGUGGCGGAGCUCCCGCGCGCGUCGCCCGGCCCUCCUGUGCUGCCAGCCGCCGGCUCCGUCGACAGCCGCGACCGCCCCUGCCUCUGCUUCGCGAACCGGAAGAAGAACAGAGGAGGAGGAGAAAGGAGGAGAGGAGGAGAGAGAAGCAGGUGCGCGACCCACCUGUCGGCGAGAGAAGGGCGUGGCCCAUUCUGCCACGUUGGAUGA
rnacentral:rRNA from 1 species